rnacentral:rRNA from 1 species
CGCAUGGUGGGUGUUGGAAAGAUUUAUCGGUUUUGGAUGGACUCGCGGCCUAUCAGCUUGUUGGUGAGGUAAUGGCUCACCAAGGCGACGACGGGUAGCCGGCCUGAGAGGGUGACCGGCCACACUGGGACUGAGACACGGCCCAGACUCCUACGGGAGGCAGCAGUGGGGAAUAUUGCACAAUGGGCGCAAGCCUGAUGCAGCGACGCCGCGUGAGGGAUGACGGCCUUCGGGUUGUAAACCUCUUUCAGUAGGGAAGAAGCGAAAGUGACGGUACCUGCAGAAGAAGCACCGGCUAACUACGUGCCAGCAGCCGCGGUAAUACGUAGGGUGCGAGCGUUAUCCGGAAUUAUUGGGCGUAAAGAGCUCGUAGGCGGUUUGUCGCGUCUGUCGUGAAAGUCCGGGGCUUAACCCCGGAUUUGCGGUGGGUACGGGCAGACUAGAGUGCAGUAGGGGAGACUGGAAUUCCUGGUGUAGCGGUGGAAUGCGCAGAUAUCAGGAGGAACACCGAUGGCGAAGGCAGGUCUCUGGGCUGUAACUGACGCUGAGGAGCGAAAGCAUGGGGAGCGAACAGGAUUAGAUACCCUGGUAGUCCAUGCCGUAAACGUUGGGCACUAGGUGUGGGGACCAUUCCACGGUUUCCGCGCCGCAGCUAACGCAUUAAGGCCCCGCCU